UACAGAGGGUGCGAGCGUUAAUCGGAAUUACUGGGCGUAAAGCGCACGUAGGUGGCUUGGCAAGUCGGUUGUGAAAUCCCCGGGCUUAACCUGGGAACUGCAUCCGAGACUGCCUUGCUAGAGUAUGGGAGAGGGAAGUGGAAUUUCCGGUGUAGCGGUGAAAUGCGUAGAUAUCGGAAGGAACAUCAGUGGCGAAGGCGACUUCCUGGACCAAUACUGACACUCAAGUGCGAAAGCGUGGGGAGCAAACAGG
rnacentral:rRNA from 3 species